CCUGACCUCAGGUGAUCUGCCCACCUCAGUCUCCCAAAGUGCUGGGACUACAGGUGUGACCAACUAAUUUUUUAAUUAUUUGUAGAGACAGUCUCCCUAUGUAGCCCAGGGUGGUCUCAAACUCCUGGGCUCAAGCAAUCCUCUGGCUUCAGCCUCCCAAAGUGCUGGGAUUAUAGGUGUGAGCCACGGCACCCCGGCCCAAGUACAUCUUUUUUUUUUUUUUUUUUUUUUUUGAGAUGGAGUCUCACUCUGUCGCCCAGGCUGGAGUGCAGUGGCAUGACCUCGGCUCUGCCUCCCAGGUUCACGCCAUUCUCCUGCCUCACCCUCCCGAGUAGCUGGGACUACAAGC
rnacentral:lncRNA from 10 species